UGCCAGUAGACUGCAGUCCUCUGGCCGCAGGCUGAUCCUGUGAUCCUGUCAUGUUGCUGCCUCUUCUCUUCGCCACGUGCCACUUGCUGGCUGAAAGAUGUGCAGGACGUCUGUUGAUGAUGAAGUGUCUCUUCCACUGAUGCCAGUCCGAACUCUCUAAAUGGUUGUGUCCCGCAGAAAGGACGCCUGUGGGAGUCUGAUCAUCCACCCACCAUGAGUGGCAUUAAGGCUGUUCAUUCCUUCAGAUAACUUUGUACUUCAGCAACUGAUUCCAGAGAAGUACGAAGAUAAUCUUGCAUUGUUGCUGAUCAGAAGAAGAGACUGCAGAAGGGAGAACUGAUCACACUCCUCACUGAGAUUGAUGAAUCUGCAGUGAUGGCUCAGAAUAAACAAAACCUGGAAAUAUCUGAAUCGAAAGUCUUGCGGGGAUGCUGAGCAUCUUCUAGGAAGUUUCUCGACCUUUGCAGCCCGAAUGGGUAGGAUUUUGCUGUAGAAUUCCAUGCUACAUGCUUCCAUGUCGUCACCAUGAUCCUCAGAAAGGCUGCUCUGCUGCCGUGUUGUGACCGUUCCAGGAGACAAAAGUGAUGAACUCGGUCGAGAGGAAAAAUGGCAGAAAUGAAGGAAGAUUUCUAACCUAAAGUCUGUUGACCACAGUCACUUUCAACAUGCAUUGGAAUGCAGAAUGAUUUCUUAGAGAAAUGCCGACCUCCAAGUAUGUUCUUCUGCAUGAUG